AUGAUCCGCGGGCCAAACCUGGUGGCCAGGAAGUGGAGCCCUGUGGUGGCGGUCGUCGGGGACAUGAUCUAUGCCCUCACAUCAACCCCUGACCACGUUCAAGAGCCCAACUUCGUGCCAUUGUUUGAGGUCCUCGAUCUCUCCAAGCCGGACGUCAUCGAGACUGCGGAGGGGGUGCUCAGCCUGGCGGACACGUGCACCUGGAUGCCAUUGCCGUACCCGCUCUGCUUCCCUUGCAAGCUCACCCCGACGGACUUCCGCAGGCCGCCCAUGAUAAGUGUCGCGUCCUCCGUGGUGGUCGAGCCUUACAUUUUGAUAUCGGUCAGUCGCCCGUACAACUUUACUUAUGCAUUUGACACCAGCUCAGGAGAGUGGCAUCAGGUCGAGGGCGAGCAACUGCCGUUUGUUGGCGCCGCCGCCCCGCACGGCGGCGGCAUCUUCCUUGCGCCUUCUCACAAGUACGGCCCCAUCAAAGCUUACUGCAUCCGAGUCUCAACAUCUGGCAAGGGUGGUGCUAUUGAGUUGUCCACCACUGUCAUCCCGGUGAGAAACGAGGAGCAUGAAGAAAUUAACGCAAGGGGCGCGCGCUACGUUCACCUGGACAGGGAACACUUCGCUCUGUUGUCUUGGCAGAAGGACAGCGGACGCUACAUGUCUUACGAUACAAAGACUGACGAAACUUAUCCAAGGAAGUUAUAUCUGAACUUGGUUACCUAUCGAACUGGGAGGUGUGUACUCGAGGGGAAGACUCCGGAGAUUGUUGUCUCCUGCCAAUCGGAGCAGGCCUUCAGGAUCUGCAGUUCCCCUGGGUUCUCUGAUGCGCCCAUCGCCUUCACUUUAUCCAUAUAUAAAUAA
rnacentral:rRNA from 1 species